GUCUCCAGUGUCCAGUCUCCACUUCCAUGGAAAUAGUUUUUGUUUUUCUUUCUUCUUCUCUCUUACAGCCUACGGGCUACCCUCUGCCGUUCUCUCACCUCAAGUCUAAAACCCCUCUCUUUCUCUCUCUGUAUUUCAAUGGCAGACCCUGUUAUGUCGUGUAGAGAAAUGAAAGCUUAGCAGUACCAAACCAGUCACAGUCUUCCCCUACUUCACAUUCACAGAUAAUGAUUGGUUGGAACUAUGGUACCUUCUCUCGAACCAUCUUCUAUUUUUGAGUUCUGUUUGGUGGUUAGAGAUGUAAAUGUGUGAGGUUUGGUGCUUGACUUUUCACCUGGCCAAGGUUAGCCUUUGUCCGACAUGAGGAUCUUUUGGUGAUGAUGUAUAUUUCUAAGAAUGGCACUAGCAUUGGCCAGAGAAGUUCUAGUGCAACCCCGCUUCACUGUGAGUUAUUCAUUGGGAUUUCGUGUGGCUGCGACUGUUCUGAGGACCAUUUUCAUUAAUCACAAUAGAGAAUUUCUUAGGAAAAAUGUUGGGACUUAUCAAAUAUCAGGUGUUUACUACAGAUGGUAUCAGAACCCAUAUCUUCAAAAAAUUUCUACUAGCACUCACCCUGAAAGGAUAUGUUGGGAAGGUUCCUCGCAUGCAGUUCUGCUGAGAAAGCUUGAAACUGCCUUGAAGGAUCACCAAUUGGAUGAAGUAUGGGAAUCUUUUAAUGAUUUUAAAAACUUGUAUGGAUUCCCUAAGGGUAGUCUUUUUGGUAAGUUGAUCAAUGAACUGUCAUAUUCAUCCAACCCACACUGGCUUCAGAAGGCAUGUGAUUUAGUCUUGCUAGUUUUGAAAGAGGAAUCGGGUUUACUUCAAUCGGAUACCCUAAUUAAGUUGUCCCUUUCCUUAGCAAGAUCUCAAUUGCCUAUCCCUGCCUCAAUGAUUCUUAGAGUGAUUCUGGAGAAAGAGACUUUACCCCCAAUGAAUGUAUUGUGGUUAGUUGUUCUGCAUAUGGUGAAGACAGAGAUUGGGACAUACAUCGCUUCAAAUUUCUUGGUUCAGGUUUGUGAUUGUUUCCAACACUUAAAUGUGAAUAAAAAUGACCGGGCAAAGCUGAUAAAACCAGAUACAAUGAUCUUUAACCUAGUGCUUGAUGCUUGUGUGAGGUUUGAAUUGUCUUUUAAAGGCCAACAGAUCAUUGAAUUGAUGUCUCAGACAGGGGUUGUAGCUGAUGCACAUUCAAUCACUAUUAUUGCCCAGAUUCAUGAGAUGAAUGGUCAGAGGGAUGAGCUGAAGAAAUUUAAAGACCACAUUGAUCGAGUUUCAGCUCCAUUUGUUUUUCAUUAUCGGCAGUUCUAUGAUAGUUUGUUGAGCUUGCACUUCAAGUUUAAUGACAUUGAUUCUGCUGCUGAUCUUGUGUUGUAUAUAUAUAGAGACCGGGAAUCUUUUCCCAUUCAAAAUGUUAGGAAGGAACUACAAAAGCCUCAUUUUGUUCCAUUGGGAUCUGAAAAUCUCAAGACAGGGUUGAAGAUACAGAUUGUACCUGAGAUGCUGCAGAAGGAUUCUAUCCUCAAAGUGGAAGGUAAACAAGAACUUGUUACUUUUAGGAAUGGGAAACUCACCCUUAGCAAUAAGGCCCUGGCCAAGCUCAUUAAUGGAUACAAGAGAGUUGGGAAGAUUAGUGAUAUAUCAAAAUUUUUACUUAGCAUUCAGAAGAAGUCACAUUCAUUGGAGGUAUCCAGAUUGUGCUCUGACGUGAUUGAUGCUUGCAUUAAAUUGCACUGGCUUGAAACUGCUCAUGACAUUUUGGAUGACAUGGAAUCCGCUGGAGCUCCCAUGGGCUGUACUACUUACUUGUCACUCUUGGCUGCCUACGACAAGGAAAAGAUGUUUAGGGAAGCAAAGGCACUGCUUAAACAAAUGAGAAAAGCUGGUAUGGUCUUAAAUUUCUCUGAUGAGAUGGUUGUUUCCAUCUGUCGAUCAGAAGCAGUAGAUAAAAAUGCCAUGCUUGCCUCAUCAACGGUGAUCAGUAAAUCAGAUCUGGCUGAGUUUUUGGUUCGAGAGAUGAGAGAGGAGAAUGCUGUUCCUCCUACUGUUUAUGAGUUCAAUUCUUCUAUUUACUUCUUCUUUAAGGCCAAAAUGUUAGCAGAUGCUUUGAAAACAUACAGAAGAAUGCUGGAGAUGAAAAUCCAGCCUACAGUGCAAACGUUUUCUAAUCUGGUAUGUGGAUAUUCUUCUCUAGGAAUGUAUCGUGAUAUCACAAUCAUCUGGGGGGACAUCAAGAGAAAUAUGGAGAGUGGAAAUUUGGUAGCGAGCAGAGAUCUCUAUGAGUUCUUGCUACUGAGUUUUCUUCGAGGUGGUUACUUUGAGAGAGUGAUGGAGGUCAUUGGUUAUAUGAAAGAGCAUGGUAUGUUCACUGACAAGUGGAUGUACAAACGUGAGUUUCUAAAGCUUCAUAUGAAUCUUUAUAGGAGGCUAAAAGCAUCAAAAGCUAGAACUGAUGCUCAAAGCAAAAGGCUUGAGUAUGUCCAGGCAUUUAGGAAAUGGGUUGGCAUAGAUUGAAGUUCAAUAAGGAAGUUCUUAAAUGCAAGGGAUGCUCAAAGCAAAAUGCUUGAGUAUGUCCAGGCAUUUAGGAAUAUGAGAGAUUGGUCACUCUUGUUUACUUUAAUCAUGUAGUGCCUCUGAAUGUUAUGUUUAAAGGGAUGCAUAGCUGGAACAAUAAUCUUGUUUCUGAGCUAAUGGAAUAGUUCUCAAAUCCUUAUACUCAAUGAGAAAUUGUUCUUCAUGUAACUCCUUCCACUGAUAAUUCAAUGCUGGGUAAUGAUAUCUUUCUUAUAAGCCAGACUUUUGAUUGGUUCCAGUGAUAUCACAUUUAAUCACUUGGCAACUCAGUGUUUAACUUAGUUGGAUCUGCUAUUUAUCUCCGACAAAUUACAGGUCAAGAUAAAACAGUUAUUCUAAAUUCAGGACGUUAUUGUUGGCCUAGGCAGCUGGUGGCUAUUUCCUAAGCUGGGCUUUGUUGGUCCGACUGUACAAGACUACCUUGGUUGGCUGGGUUUGUAAUCUCUUCUUUUAAUUGCAGUAGGCUGCCUUGAAUGUUGGGUGUUCUAUGAUGCCAUACUAGAUGUGGGUUCUCCAUGAAGAUAUAACUCCAUUAUACAAGCCUAGUUUUGGGGGAAGGAGAUGUGAAUGAUAUUAGCAUGAAAUGAUAUUUUAAUUUAUGACUUUAUCUUAAUACAUACAUUACAAUGCCAUCCUAUGUUAUAAUGUUGAUGUAAAAUGAAUAUAGUUGUGUGCUUUUGGGUUCAAUUUUUGGAUUUCACUUUAUAAAGUUCGGAGCACAUCUCAAAAAAAAUUGUCUUGUAAGUGAUGCAUGGGAUGGGUUUUCACUGGAACUAUUACUUUUGAUGAUACUUUAAAUAAACACCACCAAAGAUUAGCCAUAACAUACUGGCUUUACCUUCCGCUGUGUACCGGGAAUAAA